CAGGCCUAACACAUGCAAGUCGGACGAGAAGGUUCCUUCGGGAACUGGAGAGUGGCGCACGGGUGAGUAACGCGUGGGGACCUACCUCUUAGUGGGGGAAAACGGUUGGAAACGACCGCUAAUACCGCAUACGCCCUUCGGGGGAAAGAUUUAUCGCUAAGAGAUGGACCCGCGUUGGAUUAGAUAGUUGGUGAGGUAACGGCUCACCAAGUCAGCGAUCCAUAGCUGGUUUGAGAGGAUGAUCAGCCACACUGGGACUGAGACACGGCCCAGACUCCUACGGGAGGCAGCAGUGGGGAAUAUUGGACAAUGGGGGCAAGCCCUGAUCCAGCCAUGCCGCGUGAGUGAAGAAGGCCUUCGGGUUGUAAAGCUCUUUCAGAUGCGAAGAUGAU
rnacentral:rRNA from 1 species